rnacentral:misc_RNA from 1 species
GUAGGUGAACCUGCGGAAGGAUCAUUAUUGAAAUAAACCUGAUAGGUUGUUGCUGGUUCUCUCGGGAGCAUGUGCACACUUGUCAUCUUUAUAUCUCCACCUGUGCACCUUUGUAAAUCUGAAUAUCUUUCUGAAUGCCUGGCAUUCAGGUUUGAGGAUUGAUCUUUUUCUUUCCUUACAUUUUCAGGUUUAUGUUUUUCAUAUACCCCAAGUAUGUUAUAGAAUGUUAUAAACGGGCCUUUGUGCCUAUAAUAAAUUUAUACAACUUUCAGCAACGGAUCUCUUGGCUCUC